CCCUUAGAUGUUCUGGGCUGCACACGUGCUACACUGGCAGGUUCAGAGAGCUUCAUGCCCUGAUCUGAAAGGAAUGGGAAAUCUUUUCAAAACCUGCCGUGCUUGGGAUAGAUGUUUGCAAUUAUUCAUCUUCAACGAGGAUUGCCUUGUAAGCGCACGUCAUCAGCGUGCAUUGAAUACGACCCUGUAUUCUGUACACACCGCCCGUCGCUCCUACCGAUUGAAGUUUUCGGUGAGUUGACAGGAGGAUUUUUUUGAAACUGGUUCGCCAGUGGAUUUUAGAUCCAAAUGCCAACGAAUCGAUGGCUUUAGAGGAAGGAGAAGUCGUAACA
rnacentral:rRNA from 1 species